CAAUAGCGUAUAUUUAAGUUGUUGCAGUUAAAAAGCUCGUAGUUGGAUUUCGGAUGGGACUUGCCGGUCCGUCGUUUCGAUGUGCACUGGCCAGUCCUAUCUUGUUGUCGGGGACUAGCUCCUGGGCUUCACUGUCCGGGACUAGGAGCUGACGAGGUUACUUUGAGUAAAUUAGAGUGUUCAAAGCAAGCCUACGCUCUGAAUACAUUAGCAUGGAAUAACACGAUAGGACUCUGGCUUAUCUUGUUGGUCUGUGAGACCAGAGUAAUGAUUAAGAGGGACAGUCGGGGGCAUUCGUAUUUCAUUGUCAGAGGUGAAAUUCUUGGAUUUAUGAAAGACGAACUUCUGCGAAAGCAUUUGUCAAGGAUGUUUUCAUUAA
rnacentral:rRNA from 1 species